rnacentral:misc_RNA from 1 species
GUAUUUGAAUUAAGUAUUCAUACAGGUUUUCAGACAAAGUGGUUCAAGGUUAUAGGUUGGUGUAGGUGUUUCUCCGAAAAGAAACACAACAUUGCACACAAGGUGAGUACUAUUUUUAAAAAGUGCAGUAGAACACUUAUUAUGAAUGAUCCUUCCGCAGGUUCACCUACGGAAA